CCGCAGGUGGUCCGUGGUGGUCUUCUCGUCGCAGGCGACGCCGACAUGGUCGUCGCCGGCCAGGCGCAGGUUCACGCCCCGCUCCGCGGC
rnacentral:tRNA from 1 species